GACGAACGCUGGCGGCGUGCCUAAUACAUGCAAGUAGAACGCACAGUUUAUACCGUAGCUUGCUACACCAUAAACUGUGAGUUGCGAACGGGUGAGUAACGCGUAGGUAACCUGCCUGGUAGCGGGGGAUAACUAUUGGAAACGAUAGCUAAUACCGCAUAAUAUUAAUUAUUGCAUGAUAAUUGAUUGAAAGAUGCAAUUGCAUCACUACCAGAUGGACCUGCGUUGUAUUAGCUAGUAGGUGAGGUAACGGCUCACCUAGGCGACGAUACAUAGCCGACCUGAGAGGGUGAUCGGCCAAACUGGGACUGAGACACGGCCCAGACUCCUACGGGAGGCAGCAGUAGGGAAUCUUCGGCAAUGGACGAAAGUCUGACCGAGCAACGCCGCGUGAGUGAAGAAGGUUUUCGGAUCGUAAAGCUCUGUUGUAAGAGAAGAACGGGUGUGAGAGUGGAAAGUUCACACUGUGACGGUAUCUUACCAGAAAGGGACGGCUAACUACGUG
rnacentral:rRNA from 1 species